AUACUUACCUGGAAGGGGUCAAUGGGUGAUCAAUAAGACCCACGGCCUAGGUUGGUGACCUCCAUUGCACUUUGGGGGGUGCCCACUUAAGGUCGGCCCAAGUGGUCGAGCCUACGUCAUAAUUUGUGGUGGUGAGGGCCUGCGUUCGCGCGGCCCUUA